rnacentral:rRNA from 1 species
CCUACGGGUGGCAGCAGGGAGGAAUAUUGGGCAAUGGGCGCGAGCCUGAACCAGCCAAGUAGCGUGAAGGAUGACUGCCCUACGGGUUGUAAACUUCUUUUAUAAAGGAAUAAAGUGAGGCACGUGUGCCUUUUUGUAUGUACUUUAUGAAUAAGGAUCGGCUAACUCCGUGCCAGCAGCCGCGGUAAUACGGAGGAUCCGAGCGUUAUCCGGAUUUAGUGGGUUUAAAGGGAGCGUAGAUGGGUUGUUAAGUAAGUUGUGAAAGUUUGCGGCUCACCCGUAAAAUUGCAAUUGAUACUGGCAGUCUUGAGUACAGUUGAGGUAGGCGGAAUUCGUGGUGUAGCGGUGACAUGCUUAGAUAUCACGAAGAACUCCGAUUGCGAAGGCAGCUUACUAAACUGCCACUGACAUUGAUGCUCGACAGUGUGGGUAUCAAACAGGAUUAGAUACCCGGGUAGUC